rnacentral:piRNA from 1 species
UGUGUGCACAUUUUGUAAACAUGAGUGUA